GAUGAACGCUGGCGGCGUGCCUAAUACAUGCAAGUCGAGCGAACAGACGAGGAGCUUGCUCCUCUGACGUUAGCGGCGGACGGGUGAGUAACACGUGGAUAACCUACCUAUAAGACUGGGAUAACUUCGGGAAACCGGAGCUAAUACCGGAUAAUAUAUUGAACCGCAUGGUUCAAUAGUUAAAGACGGUUUUGCUGUCACUUAUAGAUGGAUCCGCUCCGCAUUAGCUAGUUGGUAAGGUAACGGCUUACCAAGGCAACGAUGCGUAGCCGACCUGAGAGGGUGAUCGGCCACACUGGAACUGAGACACGGUCCAGACUCCUACGGGAGGCAGCAGUAGGGAAUCUUCCGCAAUGGGCGAAAGCCUGACGGAGCAACGCCGCGUGAGUGAUGAAGGUCUUCGGAUCGUAAAACUCUGUUAUUAGGGAAGAACAAAUGUGUAAGUAACUAUGCACGUCUUGACGGUACCUAAUCAGAAAGCCACGGCUAACUACGUG
rnacentral:rRNA from 1 species